GUCAUAUAAAAAAAAUGCGGGGUUGCAAUUUGUUGAAUAUACAAGGUAUUUAAUUAAGUGAGCCUUCUAUAGAGCGGCAUUCAAUCAGCAUGCUAUGACUUGGGCAAUCUUUGCUGAUUGAAAAGAAACAAUCAUAGCAAUUAAGACCUGGGAAAUUUAAGUAGCAUCGACAAGAUGAGAAGCUUCAUAAUAAAUAAUUACCGGCAGGACAGGGUUUGGGAAGAC
rnacentral:misc_RNA from 1 species